UUUCCGUAGGUGAACCUGCGGAAGGAUCAUUAAAAAUAUAGCAAACCAAGCGUUAGCGAGGUUUUGCGAUCAAAAUUGUAUUUAAAACCCAACUCUUUGAAUCAAAUAUAUAUAUUAUAUGAAUCAUAUAAAAAAAGAUCACUUUCAACAACGGAUCUCUUGGCUCUC
rnacentral:misc_RNA from 1 species